AGAACUUAGCAGAGAUGCUUUGGUGCCUUCGGGAACUCUGAGACAGGUGCUGCAUGGCUGUCGUCAGCUCGUGUUGUGAAAUGUUGGGUUAAGUCCCGCAACGAGCGCAACCCUUAUCCUUUGUUGCCAGCGGUCUGGCCGGGAACUCAAAGGAGACUGCCAGUGAUAAACUGGAGGAAGGUGGGGAUGACGUCAAGUCAUCAUGGCCCUUACGAGUAGGGCUACACACGUGCUACAAUGGCGCAUACAAAGAGAAGCGACCUCGCGAGAGCAAGCGGACCUCAUAAAGUGCGUCGUAGUCCGGAUUGGAGUCUGCAACUCGACUCCAUGAAGUCGGAAUCGCUAGUAAUCGUAGAUCAGAAUGCUACGGUGAAUACGUUCCCGGGCCUUGUACACACCGCCCGUCACACCAUGGGAGUGGGUUGCAAAAGAAGUAGGUAGCUUAACCUUCGGGAGGGCGCUUACCACUUUGUGAUUCAUGACUGGGGUGAAGUCGUAACAAGGUAAGCGUAGACGU
rnacentral:rRNA from 1 species